AUGAAGGAUAAACAAUCUGAUAUUGAUGCCAAUGAUCUAUUUGUUGAGUUGAAGUUUCUUCAAAAUUUCAUGCCAAAAGAAAAUAUCGAACCUACUGAAAUUCUGAAUUUUUUAAAGCAGCAUGAUUGUUUUGCAUAUAGAGUUCUGUUGACCAUUCCUGUGACAGUUGCAUCGGCAGAAAGAAGUUUUUCUAAAUUGAAGCUAUUGAAGUCCUAUAUGCGCAUUACUAUGACACAUCAAAGACUCGAUGAUUUGGCUACGAUAGCACUUAAGAGUGAAGUGUUGGAGAAGAUUGAUUACGAGGGUAUGAUUGAAGAUUUCAUUUUAAAGAAUACUACAAAAUAA
rnacentral:rRNA from 1 species